CGCUCUUUCUUCUGGAGUAAUGGACACCCCUUCCUGGGUUACUUCAGAGUAUGGGGCCACCGUGAAGCCUCGUUCUCCAAGCGUAGUUUAAAAACAGUUGGGAGAGUGCCCAUGCCACUAAUUGCCCACUCUCCCACACAUGGUUUAUCCCGCUUCACCUGGUCCCUUCAACUCCAGAAAAGACAGGGAGUGGAAAAGUCUAGAUUUAGAAGAUUAAAUUUAUCUGUAAAUUAUGACUUACGUGAAGUAGGUACUCAUUUUCUUUAUCUACUGACUGCUAAUAGGAUAGAUUGGAAACAGCUGUGUAAAGCUAGGAUCACAUCGCUAACAGUGGGUUGGAUCUAAGCUCAGCCUUUACGGUAAAAAUCCCUGAGAGUAAAAAUUACUCAUGAAAAUACUGUAAGUGGCCCACAAAGUGCAGGAUACGUGAUGUUAAGCAUAAACUCUAGGUCUUUAAUUCUUAGGCACACUUGAAUGUGAGACCUCUUAGCUAGUUUAUAUGUUUUCAUAAAAAGGGAGUUUGUAGAUAUCUGGGCAUUUAAACAAUCCUGAUAAAUCCAAGGGGCAACACUUAGUUUUCAUCUUGCUUAACCAUUCACCAACAUUUGACACAGUUCAUCACAUCCUCCUUUUUGAAGCUUGAAACGCUUUCUUCAUUUGACUUUUGUGAACUCACAGAGCUCUUUUGAUUCUUCUUUGCUAGACUCUGCCUCAUUUCUUAGUGUGUCCCAGCUCUCUUCCCCUCUUUAGCCACCUUUAUUUCCCAGGUAAUCUCAUUCUUUCCUUCACUGUCUUUAUAUAGCAUCACUAUGCUGAUGGCUUCCAAAUAGCCAUUUCCAGCCAUGAUUUCUUUGAUUUCUAUACUAACGUAUCUAACUUCUUAGUCAACAUAUCUACUAGGAUAUUUAACAUGCAUUUCAAACUAUUUUCUGUUUCCAAAACCUGUCUCACUCUUCCUAGUGUAUAUCUUUACAUCUCAGCAAAUGGCAUAUUGACUCUUAGAACUGUUAAGUUCAUAGUUUGAUUCUUCUUUCUCUCAAGUUUCACAUCCAGUCAGUCCCUCAGCAAAAUCUAUCGGCUUUUUUCAAAAGGUAUUCUAAAUCUAACCAAUUCUUACCACCUCUACAACUACUAUGCCACUCCUCACUGGAUGCUCUAAUUGUUUCUUAAUUGUUCUACACGCUUCUGUUCUUACUUUUCUACAACCUAGUCUCCACUUGUAAUAGGUGAAUUGCCAGAAGCUCUCUGUGGACUACUUUAGUCAUUAAAACUCAUGGACUAAUUUGAGAAUUAAAACUCCAAGUGGUUCCAUUGCUUGGGGGUGGGGGGGGGCACACUUUUGUGACUGCUACCUCCAAGAGACCUACCAGCUUCUCACUUUGAAAAUCAGAUAAAAAUUCUCUUUUGACAGUAGGAGAGGAAAAGUGAGCAUUUUCAAAUAUACCCAGAGCUCUCUAUUUUCCUUAAUAAAAUCUGCCUUUAAGGGAAACUGUUUUACCAGAGCCUAACCAACUGGGGGGUUACCAACCUAGUGAAAUGAAAAUACUCAACUCCAGACCACUCUAGCCUUUGAAGUGGAAGGAAAGUGGACAACAUGCAGAAACAGAAGGGGACAGUAAGCAGAGAGAUGAAAACAUUAAGAAGGAAUCAACAGGACAUGCUGGAAAUCCAAAACACAGGAACUGAAAUGAAAAACACCUUUGGUAGGCACAUAAGUAGACUGGACACAACCAGGGAAAGAAUCUAGAUUAAGGAUAUGUCAAUAGAAACUUCCAAAACUGAAAAGAAAAAAGAAUGAAGAAGAUGAAACAGAAUAUCCAAGAAAAGUGGGGAAAUUACAAAAAGUUUAGCAUAUGCAUAAUGGGAAUGCUAGAAGGAGAAGAGAGAAAAGGAACAAAGGAACUAUUUGAAGUAAGGACAGAAUUUUCCAAAAUUAAUGACAUUAAAACCCACAGAUCCAGGAAGCUUAGAGGAUUCUAAACUGGAUAAAUACUAAAAAAUUACACUUGGGCAUAUAUAAUCAAACAGCAGAAAAUGAAAGUCUAUGAGAAAAUCUUGAAAGAGGUCAGAGGGGAGAAAACAACCAAUGUUGCCUACAGAGAAAAAAUAAGAUAUGAAUUACAUUGAACUUUUCUUCAGAAACUAUGCAAAAAGAAAAUGGGAUGAUAUAUUUAAAGUCUUGAAGACCUAGAAUUUGAUAUCCAGUGAAAUUAUCCUUAGAAAAUAGAGGAAAAAUAAAGACUUUCUCAGACAAACAAAAAUUGAGGGAAAUUGUCACCAGUGGACUUGCCCUGCAAGAAAUGUUAAAAGAAGUUCUUCAAAGAGAUAGAAAUGUUAUACAUCAGAAAUUUGGAUCUACAUGAAGAAAGAGUUUUUGAGAAGGAAUAAAUGAAGACUACUAAACAAUGGAAAGGAACAAGCCACUAAUACCUGGAACAACAUGAAUGAACCUCAAAACAUUAAGCUGAGUGAAAGAAGCCUUUCAUGCAAAAAAGGUUUCCUGGAAUAAGAAUUCAUCGGAAGAAAGCAUUACUCUGUGGAAGUUUGAAAGCCAUUAUCAGUAUUCUCUGCCGAUAGCAAAGGCUCUCUAGACGGCAACUAUCAGAGCAAAUUCUGUCUCUCCACUCUGUGGUCCUAGGCCCACUGUAGCCACCAGGGAACAGUUCAGCUGAAAUGACCCAUCAACUCCAUUCCUAUUGUUAUUCUUAAAACUUCCUGGCACAGCAUCAGAUACCUGCAUGAAGGAAAAGCUUCUUCAGCCUUCCCUCUCUAUUUGGCUUCAAGUGGGUAUAUCACAGUUAUUGCCAUAUACAGAAAAUUCUGACUGACAUUUCCAGAGCUUUUUGGUGACAGAAGUGAUUUUCACAUUCCCUCAAGCUGGAGCAUAUUUUCACAAGCACUAUUUGGGUUCUUUGGUCAUUCAUCUUUAAAGUAAGAGAACUCCAUCUAGACCACUUCCAUCAUCUUGUGAUUCAUGGAAAACCAUUGACAACAGGAUUACUGACUGAUCUUGGAGUUGUUAGUUUUUAUCAGUUUUAGUGUUUUUAUAGUUAUUUCAUUGGGUGGUUGUAAGAGGUUUUACUAGGGGGUGUUAGGUAGCAUGCACUUUCAAUCAAGCUACCUAUUCAAAAUGUCAGCAUUUUUGCAGUAUCUCCCAAGAUGUUUCUGUUGAAGAAUAAUAUUUGUACUGUGAGAGUUGUAUCUGGAACUCCUGUACUCCAGAAUCAAAAACAAAAAUGUGAAGCAAUAGUUUCUAUUUCACAGGCUAAUUAAAGCAAGAGAUUUGGUAUUUCUUUACAAAAAGAAUGAUGAAGGUAGAUAGUGGCCUGGAAACCAGUGAACUUGAUUGCAAAAUGAAUAUUUAAAAGCCCCUCUGAUUUAAUGUGCUCUUGUUUCCAUUCCCUUUAUUCUUUACAAAGACAAAGAGUCCUCUGUAAAUAUUGCUUUAAGGAUUAUCAGGCUUCAAUUUUCAAUUUUGUCCAAAGGCCAUAAUUUAAACCAUAAUAUUGGCUUUACAAAUGUAAACAGUGAUUGAACCUCUUUCCUUUAGCUAAUAGAAAUGCCAAUGAAAUUAGAGUCAAUUAAAUAAUUGCUUUAUUAACCUAAUGUAUUACUGCUGUAAGACGUGCUGUGACUCAUCCAGUCAGGAGGGGAGCUAGGAGAGAACAAAACUACAUCAACAUAAAGACAAUGGAAACCAGCAUUUUGUAAAAACUUGAUCCAAUAAAAAGAAUAAAACAUUUAUUGAAAUUUUGAUA